GAGUUUGAUCCCUGGCUCACACCCCAACGCUGGCGGCAUGCUUUACACAUGCAAGUCGAACGGCAGCACGGGGGCAACCCUGGUGGCGAGUGGCGAACGGGUGAGUAAUGCAUCGGAACGUGCCCAGUAGUGGGGGAUAACACAUCGAAAGAUGUGCUAAUACCGCAUACGCACUACGGUGGAAAGCGGGGGACCGCAAGGCCUUGCGCUAUUGGAGCGGCCGAUGUCCGAUUAGCUAGUUGGUGGGGUAAUGGCCCACCAAGGCGACGAUCGGUAGCUGGUCUGAGAGGAUGAUCAGCCACACUGGGACUGAGACACGGCCCAUACUCCUACGGGAGGCAGCAGUGGGGAAUUUUGGACAAUGGGCGCAAGCCUGAUCCAGCCAUGCCGCGUGAGUGAACAAGGCCUUCGGGUUGUAAAGCUCUUUCGGCCGGAACGAAAUCCUCCGAGCUAAUACCCCGGAUGGAUGACCGUACCGGAAAGAAGAAGCACCGGCUAACUACGUGCCACCAGCCGCGGUAAUACCUUACGGUGCAGGCGUUUAAUCCGAAAUUUACUGGGGCGUAAAGCGGUGCGCCAGGCGGGCUACUCAAGUCAGAAUGUGGAA
rnacentral:rRNA from 1 species